rnacentral:rRNA from 1 species
UUGGGUAUAAAGUGCGCGUAGGUGGUUUGUUAAGUUGGAUGUGAAAUCCCCCGGGGCUCAACCUGGGAACUGCAUUCAAAAACUGACUGACUAGAGUAUGGUAGAGGGGUGGUGGAAUUUUCCUGUGUAGCGGUGAAAAUGCGUAGAUAUAGGAAGGAACACCAGUGGCGAAGGCGACCACCUGGACUAAUACUGACACUGAGGUGCGAAAAGCGUGGGGAGCAAAACAGGAUUAGAUACCCUUGUUA